AUGGGUGCUAUUAACGACAGGGUUCACCUUUAUUCCAUUUCGAACAAAGAAGUUAAGACUGUUAGUGCCGAUGAUACUACGGUAAAACGCGGGAAAGUAGGUAAGUGCCCAUU
rnacentral:rRNA from 1 species